rnacentral:rRNA from 1 species
GACGGGGGAUGCAAGUGUUAUCCGGCAUCACUGGGCGUAAAGCGUCUGCAGGUGGUUUCCUAAGUCCACUGUUAAACCUUGAGGCUCAACCUCAAAUCUGCAUUGGAAACUAGGAGACUUGAGUAUAGUAGGGGUAGAGGGAAUUUCCAGUGGAGCGGUGAAAUGCGUAGAUAUUGGAAAGAACACCGAUGGCGAAGGCACUCUACUGGGCUAUUACUGACACUCAGAGACGAAAGCUAGGGGAGCAAACAGG